rnacentral:ncRNA from 1 species
CUAUAUAAUGGGCAAACUUAUCGAAAGGUAAGGACGCAAAGCCACGGGCCUAAAGUAGGAAACUAAGGUCGCCGGGUUGCACUC